rnacentral:rRNA from 1 species
CCUACGGGAGACAGCAGUAGGGAAUCUUCCACAAUGGGCGAAAGCCUGAUGGAGCAACGCCGCGUGGGUGAAGAAGGUCUUCGGAUCGUAAAACCCUGUUGUUAGAGAAGAAAGUGCGUGAGAGUAACUGUUCACGUUUCGACGGUAUCUAACCAGAAAGCCACGGCUAACUACGUGCCAGCAGCCGCGGUAAUACGUAGGUGGCAAGCGUUAUCCGGAUUUAUUGGGCGUAAAGGGAACGCAGGCGGUCUUUUAAGUCUGAUGUGAAAGCCUUCGGCUUAACCGGAGUAGUGCAUUGGAAACUGGGAGACUUGAGUGCAGAAGAGGAGAGUGGAACUCCAUGUGUAGCGGUGAAAUGCGUAGAUAUAUGGAAGAACACCAGUGGCGAAAGCGGCUCUCUGGACUGCAACUGACGUUGAGGCCCGAAAGCGUGGGGAGCAAACAGGAUUAGAUACCCGAGUAGUC